AGCGGCGUACGGGUGCGGAACACGUGUGCAACCUGCCUUUAUCUGGGGGAUAGCCUUUCGAAAGGAAGAUUAAUACCCCAUAAUAUGUUGGAUGGCAUCAUUCGACAUUGAAAACUCCGGUGGAUAGAGAUGGGCACGCGCAAGAUUAGAUAGUUGGUGAGGUAACGGCUCACCAAGUCUGCGAUCUUUAGGGGGCCUGAGAGGGUGAUCCCCCACACUGGUACUGAGACACGGACCAGACUCCUACGGGAGGCAGCAGUGAGGAAUAUUGGACAAUGGGUGAGAGCCUGAUCCAGCCAUCCCGCGUGAAGGACGACGGCCCUAUGGGUUGUAAACUUCUUUUGUAUAGGGAUAAACCUACUCUCGUGAGAGUAGCUGAAGGUACUAUACGAAUAAGCACCGGCUAACUCCGUGCCAGCAGCCGCGGUAAUACGGAGGGUGCAAGCGUUAUCCGGAUUUAUUGGGUUUAAAGGGUCCGUAGGCGGAUCUGUAAGUCAGUGGUGAAAUCUCACAGCUUAACUGUGAAACUGCCAUUGAUACUGCAGGUCUUGAGUGUUGUUGAAGUAGCUGGAAUAAGUAGUGUAGCGGUGAAAUGCAUAGAUAUUACUUAGAACACCAAUUGCGAAGGCAGGUUACUAAGCAACAACUGACGCUGAUGGACGAAAGCGUGGGGAGCGAACAGGAUUAGAUACCCUGGUAGUCCACGCCGUAAACGAUGCUAACUCGUUUUUGGGCUUUCGGGUUCAGAGACUAAGCGAAAGUGAUAAGUUAGCCACCUGGGGAGUACGAACGCAAGUUUGAAACUCAAAGGAAUUGACGGGGGCCCGCACAAGCGGUGGAUUAUGUGGUUUAAUUCGAUGAUACGCGAGGAACCUUACCAAGGCUUAAAUGGGAAAUGACAGGUUUAGAAAUAGACUUUUCUUCGGACAUUUUUCAAGGUGCUGCAUGGUUGUCGUCAGCUCGUGCCGUGAGGUGUUAGGUUAAGUCCUGCAACGAGCGCAACCCCUGUCACUAGUUGCCAUCAUUAAGUUGGGGACUCUAGUGAGACUGCCUACGCAAGUAGAGAGGAAGGUGGGGAUGACGUCAAAUCAUCACGGCCCUUACGCCUUGGGCCACACACGUAAUACAAUGGCCGGUACAGAGGGCAGCUACACAGCGAUGUGAUGCAAAUCUCGAAAGCCGGUCUCAGUUCGGAUUGGAGUCUGCAACUCGA
rnacentral:rRNA from 1 species